rnacentral:tRNA from 1 species
GGCAGUGUGGUCUAGUGGGUAAAGCACUGGACUGGGACUCGGAAGACCUGGGCUCUAUUUCCAGCUCUGCCA